UUAAAACGUCACCAUUAUUAACCACGUGGCCAGUGAGCUACAUCCCUACCACAGCUCUUGUUUAUGCCUCACUGACUGCAUCAUGGUCGAAACCCCGCCACUUCCUUUCGUUGCUAUGGACUACAGAGGUAUGUGUUCUGAGUUUAGUCGCUUAGCUGUUUGACGCUAGCGUUGUCUGCUUAUCAUGUGAUUUACUUGUUUCGUGUGCCGUUGGGUCACCGAGACUGUGUGCAUGUGCGGAGUGCCGUCAAGGCUCCCGUCUGUGUGGCCUGGCAGUUUAAAGUCGUCCCGGUCGGAGCGCCUGCUGCUGCUGUCACAGCUAUUAAAGAAGCCAUCAUAUGAUUUUCCUAUGUGCCAUCGUGAGUAUUAUGUCAUCAGAUCACGGUAGGUCGUUUGUUUAGUUCUGUUUAGUUCUGUUAUUCGAGCUACAUGAUCUCGUAUGCUUUCCAAAUUGAGGUUGUAACAUCUGUUGUUCUUAGGGUCCUUGAUUUUGCAUGCGUUAAGGUAGGCUGAGUGGGUGUGGUCGUUUCGGUAUAGCUCCUCCCCCUCACUCGUGGAGCCACGUUGCUGCUUUGUUUUGUUUUGCUCGCUUUUGUUUUGCUCGGUUUUGUUCAGUUUUGUUUUGUUUUGCUCGGUUUUGUUCUGUUUUGUUUUGUUCUGUUUUGUUUUGUUUUGUUUUGCUCGGUUUUGUUCUGUUUUGUUUUGUUUUGCUCUGUUUUGUUUUGUUUUGCUCGGUUUUGUUUUGCUCUGUUUUGUUUUGUUUUGCUCGGUUUUGUUUUGCUAUGCUUCGCUUCGCUUCAUGUUUGGUGUCCAGCCAGGCCUCCGUCUAAUACCCAAGAGCUGAGUGCUUCCUUGUGUUUCUUUUAUUUGACCAAUGCCUGACUGCGUUGGUUGCUGUUUUAUUAUUGUUAUUAUUAUUAUGAUUAUUAUAAUUAUUAUAAUUAUUGUUAUUAUUAUUAUUAUUGGCCAGUCUUUUUAACUUCAAAUAAAAGUUAUUUUUGUAUAA